GGCAUCACCUGCAGCUCGGUGCGCGUGAGGGUGUGGUGUAGAGGAACAAAGACGGCAAGGAAAAACUCCAUGCUGCCGCGAAGCACAGUUUUCCAGUUAAAAGGAGAAAAAAGAAGUUCAAUUAACAUUUGUGAGAGAGCUGCCGUUAGCGGUGAACCACAGACGGGUACCUACCUCGAAGGAGUCGGAGUGUGUCUUCGAACUUUUUGAACUAUUCUGACUGGUUUUUUUUUGAGGGACAAUUCCAUGGGUGCUGCAUAAGGAGCUGCCAUUGCAGAUCUAGGACACUGUUGCUGCUGUGGAGGCCUUCUGUGUGUCAGGACGCGACUCGUUGAUGCCUGCCGUACCAGGAGGGCGGUAGGAAAAAACAAAAGGAAGUCCACCUGAGAGAUACUUUACCAUUUUCUUUUGCUACUUUUUUCUUCGCCUGGAACUCAGGUUGUUUUUUGUUCUCAAACCCAAAUAGACUGGUAACUAAAUGAAACUGAUAUCAUAAAAACUGAUGGUUGACAACCAGUAAAAGUCUAGUGGUACCACAUUUUCUUUUCUUUGGGGGUGUUGAAAUAUUGUGUUUUCUUUCCUUGUCUUACAUCUGUUUUGAUUGUUUCAAUUAUUCUUGUGAUGCAUUUGAGAUGUUUACUGCAUUUGAAGGUAUCCCUAUGUUGAGGAUGAGCAAAGGGAACUGAUCCAAGGAAAAUAUAUAUAUAAAGCAAGCCUUGUUUCACCAACCUGUGGUCGUGCGUGUUAUGUGGGUUGGAAGUCUUAUUGCUCUUACAGAGUUGCUACCGCCAAUCUCCUUCCCAAACCUAGAUUCAGAUAUUGUAGACAUUGCACUUGGGCGAGCAGUAUAGAUCAUCUCUUUAUAGAUAGAGGGACACAAGUCCAGGUUACAAUUAACUUCAUAAACACAGCUGUAACUUUUGAUAGAAGACUCGGACACACAUAUUUAAGGCUUUGCCUUAUAGAAUUCAGCAUUUCCAUGCUGGGGAAAUAGGUUUUGCAGCUGUUUGAGCUAAGAUUUUCAAGUUAUUUACAAAAUGAAAACCCAUACUUUGUUUCAGGCGAGAAGUCCAUUCAAAUGCAUGUAAUCCUGUUGUAUACUUUAUGUAAAAAGCGUGAUAAGUCCUUUGAAAAUAAUUUGUAAAAUUCAGAAGUCAACCCGUCAUUCCUUGGACUCUUAUUAAGUUUCAUUUCAUUAAUAGCACCUUCAAUAUCUAGUGUUGUGAUGGGGGCAUCGCACAUAGUUUUAUUAUUGUCACUAAUUGUUUUAAUAUUACCUAAGGAAUUAUAGAAUUUUUCCAUGGCAUCUGUAGAAAGAUUAGAUUUAUAUAAAUUCUUAUAAAAGAGUUCACAAGUCUUGGAAAUCACUUGAGGGUCUUGUGUGAUGACCCCAUAUGAACAAAGUUUAGUCAUGCUGCCAAGUGUAUUGUGAUGUUUUUCUAAUUUGAAAAAAUAGCAAGAGUUUUGUUCUCCCUCUUCAAGCCACUUCCUUCUUGACCGCACAAAGGCACAUUUUGCCUUGUAAAUAUAUAUAUUAUCUAAUUUUAAUUGUAGAAUUUGAAGUCUGUUCCAGUUAUCUUCAGAUAAAUUAUGAGGUGAUCUAGACAAAGCGAUAAUUUCAGAAAUUAUUUCCGACUCUUCUUAUUUUCUAUUUUUAACUAUUUCAGCUCCUCUUUUCAUUAAAACGGACCUCAAUUCAAAUUUCAUGAACUCCCAAUUUUUACAAAAAGCUAUAUCAAUACAUGCCUUAUCCCAAUACUCAUCUAUUUUUCUUUUAAUUUCCUUUACCAAAGAAUCAUUCAGUAGAAGAGAAUUAUUUAAUUUCCAAUAUGAAUUCACUCUUUUAGACAGAUUACUGGCAUACAAACAUAGCUCCAAAAAAAUUGUUUUAUGAUCUGUGAAGGGUGUUGGCAACAUUUUUGAUGUAGAAACAUAUUCGGAUAAAGGAUCAGAAAUUAACCAAUAAUCAAUACGAGACUGUAAUGAACCUGAUCUAUUUUUCCAUGAAAAUUCCUUAAUUGUUGGAUUUUUGAAUCUCCAGAUAUCAAUUAGGUUUCUUUCAUUUAUAAAAUCCAACAUAUAAUUACUACUUUCCUGACUUUUACUUGGCCAUCUAUCUAUCAUAUUAUUGAGUGAAUGAUUCCAGUCUCCUCCUAAUAUAAUCUUUAGAUUAGCAAAUUUACUUAUUAAAGACUCAUUUUUUUCAUUUACUACAAGUAUAAGGUCAAUAUUCUCCUGUUUGUUAUUAUAGCCAUAAAUGGUUCCCAGUAAGGGGGUCUGACCAUUAAAAAAAAAAAUAACCAGCAAAAUAAAAUGUCCUUGUGGAUCAGUUUCUGAAGAUAUAAUUUUUCCAUUAAAUUUAUGCUUCAAAAUCAGAGUUCCCACUGAAUGGUUUGUGCCAUGAGACAUCCAUAAAUCUUCGUCCAAUUGGGAUUUCCAGAAGUUAGCAUCCUUAGGUUCAGGAUGGGAUUCUUGUAAGAGACAAAAGUCAGUAUUCAAACUUUUAGCAUAUAAAAACAGAGCUUUCCUUUUGGUAUUGUCCCUUAGUCCUCGAGCGUUAAAAGAAAUAAAGGAUAAAGAUGAAAUUUUGAAAAGUAAAUUAACUUUUUACCCUGAGAAGAGUGUGUAAGCUUCAGAGAGAGCAGAACUACUCUGUCUAAAAAAGUGCUUCACAAAACGUUUUAGCAGCAACAGCAUACUAUAAGUCUUUGGAACAAUAAGGAAAAGAGACCUUGAGGUAUAUCCGCAAACAGGACUGCAAGAGAUUUCAGUGAAUUUCUUUUCUGUUCACGAAAGCACAGGCUCCGAUGAAGUAGGCAAUUUUCCCCUCCUUACGUGCUUUCUCCACCUGAGGCCAUAGCUGGUUGCGUCUCUCUCUGUCCUCAGGAGAGAGAUCUUCUUUGAAAUGGAGCUUCCUUGUCUUCAGGUAGUCAGAUCGCUUCGCCGCCUUCCAGAUGACGUCUCAAAAGUGUCUCAUGGUAAAUUGCAAGAUUAUGGCGUGGUGCAGUGGCGCAGAAGAGGACUCACAUCGUUGACCGAGCCUGUGGACUGAAUCAAGUACCUCCGGGAACUUUUCACGGUGGUCAGGAUCCAUGUUUUGGCAAAUUUCAAUAACCUUACUGCGUACGUAGUCGCAGGUUCCAUCUUCUUUUAUAUCGAGACAACUCCGACACCUUGUUUUCCAGUGUUUGAAUUUUCUCUUCUGCUUUAUUCACCCUUACUUCAGUACGAGACACCUUUCCUUUUAGCUCCCUGAGAUCUUCUGAGAUAAAGUUAAUAGUAACCUACAGGUCGCUAAUACUCUUCUCAAUGUUAGCUCCUUGCUCUUCGAUAGCCAUCCUGAGCAUCGUAAUAAUGCUUUCCGCUGUGUCAGUUUUCAUCACUCUUUUCUUACCAGAAGGUUUUGACGGGGAGGAAGUAGGAGUGAUAAGAGCUCUCUUAUUUGAGCCCAGUUUUUUUGCCAUCACAUACAGCUAGAAGUGUGUACCUUAGAGUUCGCUUUGCUGCUUUUAAAGGAGUUUUUAGACACAGCGAGUUCUGUAGCAGACUGUUCACAGCGCCGCCAUAUUGGCCCCCUGGCUGCUGGCAUCAUCUAGCACAAAGGAUAGGGGCUGCUGACAUCAUCCAGGGCAGAGGAAUGCAGCUGUCUGUCUAAAAGUGCUAGCUUGUGACAGCUAAGACGCCACUUAGAGACAAAACAUCCAGAGCACAAAGACAAAUCAGUGGACUUUUUCAGACAAAAACUUCUAAAUUGUCGUGGUCAACAGUGUCUCUUUACUAAAGCUGAAUCUGUUUUGGCAAACUAGCAGCCACACUUUGUAAUUAGUGUCAGCUGUGCUUCCCAGGUGUUUGUCCUCUGCCCUGUUCCCCACCUGUAUUUAGUGUCUACAGGUGGAGUGCCUGGGAGUUUCCACCUGUGGCUGCUGGCCCCCUCUCCUCCCCUUUGGGGUGGAGUCUUCCACAUCCCACCUGGACCUCGUUGCAUGCAAUCAGCAGGAGGGCUUCUUAAACCCUGAGCAGUCUACCAUGCCUCGACAGUUUGUUGUGCGCCAUCCGGCGAGGUUGACAUGGCUCAUACUGCCCGGAGUGUUUCCACCUGCCUGUCCUGGCACUUAUCAGCUACUGCUCCUGCUCGGUUGCUUGCCCCCGGCCUGCCUCGACUCCCCUGGACCACCCCUCCUCAGUGCACUCUGUAUCGGGCCUGUUAAGUAAGGACAAUUAACUCUCUUCAGUCAUUCCCUUCAGUCAAUAACUUUUACCCUCCCGUUAAUUAUUUUUCCUCCGUCUACUUACACACUGUGGAAUUACAGGGAUUAUUUUACAUAACCAUCAUCUUAUCAUUGCAUUAAUUAUCAUUUCAUCAAAGUGUUUAUUGAAGUUGCUGGCAUUAUGUUAUAAUUUAUAUUAUA